AUGAAGAUAGAAGGAGAGACUACGAAAUGUAGCGCCGAAGGAGCAAGCCAAAGAGGUGAAUCUCUCAGGCAAAAGUACUUCUAUUGGACG
rnacentral:ncRNA from 1 species